AUUGAACGCUGGCGGCAUGCUUUACACAUGCAAGUCGAACGGUAACGGGCCGCAAGGUGCUGACGAGUGGCGAACGGGUGAGUAAUGCAUCGGAACGUGCCCAGUCGUGGGGGAUAACUACUCGAAAGAGUAGCUAAUACCGCAUACGAUCUAUGGAUGAAAGCGGGGGACCGUAAGGCCUCGCGCGAUUGGAGCGGCCGAUGUCAGAUUAGGUAGUUGGUGGGGUAAAGGCUCACCAAGCCAACGAUCUGUAGCUGGUCUGAGAGGACAACCAGCCACACUGGGACUGAGACACGGCCCAGACUCCUACGGGAGGCAGCAGUGGGGAAUUUUGGACAAUGGGCGCAAGCCUGAUCCAGCAAUGCCGCGUGCAGGAAGAAGGCCUUCGGGUUGUAAACUGCUUUUGUACGGAACGAAACGGCUCUGGUUAAUACCCGGGGCUAAUGACGGUACCGUAAGAAUAAGCACCGGCUAACUACGUG
rnacentral:rRNA from 1 species